UACGGAGGGUGCAAGCGUUAUCCGGAUCCACUGGGUUUAAAGGGUGCGUAGGUGGGCUAGUAAGUCAGUGGUGAAAUCUCCGAGCUUAACUUGGAAACUGCCAUUGAUACUAUUAAUCUUGAAUAUUGUGGAGGUCAGCGGAAUAUGUCAUGUAGCGGUGAAAUGCUUAGAGAUGACAUAGAACACCAAUUGCGAAGGCAGCUGGCUACGCAUAUAUUGACACUGAGGCUCGAAAGCGUGGGGAUCAAACAGG
rnacentral:rRNA from 1 species